rnacentral:lncRNA from 1 species
AAGUUGACUAGGGGUGGGCGCGAGUAAAAUCAUGACAUAUUCGAAUUCCAGUGGACAUUAGAUAUUCUUUGAGAGACGGCAGGAUCACAGAUGGAGAGACAUUUUGCCACACGAUGAAUCACACACCACAUCUCAUCCCCGAGCUUCAGCUGCAGGACAAUGCUGCCAGAGGCCUGGUCCUCAGAGCUCACGAUCUUAUCAAAUUUAAUGGGCACAUCUGAAGAAGGAAACUUGCUCAGCACCGUGAGCCCCACAGUGAAAGCACUUUUUGGCAAGACUAGAGUCUCACCGAUUUUCCCUUUCUCUCCUCGAUCUCCUUUCCAGCCUCUUAUUCCCCGGACUCCUGGCUCACCCUGGGGCCCCGUGGGUCCAGCUUCUCCCUUGGGACCAGGCUUUCCAAUAGGGCCCAUGGGGCCCGGUAAACCAGUUGGGCCCAAAGGCCCAAUGUUGCCCCUUGGCCCCUCAGGACCAGUGGGACCCACGUCACCCUUAUUCCCCUUCUGCCCCUGAGGCCCAGUCUCUCCUCGGAGGCCUUUCUCUCCCAUGGGCCCUGCAAGCCCCUUGGGGCCAUGUUUUCCUGGGGAUCCUCUUGAGCCUUGAUCACCUUUGAUGCCUUUUGCUUCAACUUUUCCAUCUGCUCCUAAAUAGAGAAAGAGCAAAUAAAGAGAUAGUUUGUGAAAGAUUCCCUUGUGAACAACUUUGGUUUUUCUAUAAUUGAGCUCACAAAUGAAACAAAGUAGUACACAGGUUCAGUAUAUGCCCAGAGUUUAAAAUUCAAUUACUCCAUCUGGGUGCGGUGGCUCACACCUGUAAUCCUAGCACCUUGGGAGACCGCGGCAGGAGGACUGCCUGAGGCCAAGAGUUCAAGACCAUCCCGGCCAACAUAGCAAUUCCCUGACUCUAAAAAAAUAAAAAUAAUAAAAAAAUAAGAAAAUAAAAUUCAAUUACUCCAGCCCAGCUCAGUGGCUUAUGCCUGUAAUCCUAGCACUUUGGGAGGCCAAGAGAGGCAGACUACUUGAGUCCAGGAAUUCAAGAUCAGGCUAGGCAACAUGGCAAAACCUCAUCUCUGCAAAAAGUACAAAAAUUAACCAGGUGCGGUGGCACACAAUUGUAGUCCCAGAUAUUCAGGAGGCUGAGGUGGGAGGAUGGCUUGAGCCCAGGAGGCUGAGGCUGCAGUGAUCCGUGAUCAAACCACUGCACUCCAGCCUGGGCAACAGAGUGAGACCCUGUCUCAAAAAAAUAAAUAAAAGUCAAUUACUCCAAUUACACACGUGUGUGCACAUGGACACACACACACACAUCCCAACACACCUUUUGACUACUGUCUACUAAAUUAGUGUCAGGGCUCACAUUAGAAAUUACAACCCUACCAUCUAAGUCUACCAUGCUGGCUAUUAAAUAAUGUCAAUCCAUGACAAAAAGCACUCUGCAGAGCAGAGACAGACAGAUUAACUGACACUCAACCCUAGUCGUGACAUCCUCUAAAAACCUCCUCCCUGGAGUGAACAUAAAAUAAAGCCUGCAUCGAGGCAUUGCCCUCUCCUGCCCAACCCCAGCCCCAACCCACCUAUCCCACCGGCAAUUCAUCAUCUACAGAAACCUUGCUGCUUCCUUGCACCCCCACCCAUACCAAAGAGCCGUCGUUGCAAGUGUGGACUCUGAGGCUAAGUGCCAGGUUUCCAUUCUGUCCCCAUAUGCACACAGGACGUCAGACGAGCUAGUGAGCCUCGUGCCUCUGUUCCCUCACCUACGGAACUGGGGUGAUAAAACUACCUAGUGUCUGGGGAUGUUGCAUUUGGUGAGUCAGUACAUGAAAAGCACAAAGUGAAGAUUACACAAGUUUGCCACUACGACUACAUCCCAACCCAUCAGGGACCAGUUCUAGUGCCACCUCCUCCAUGCAGUGCUGCCAGAUGCACCAAGUCAAAAACUCAGUCUCACUCCUCAGUGCUCAUCCACUGCAAGGUUCAAAGUUCAGCAAACUACAGCCACAGGCCAAAUUCAGCCUCCCUCCCGCAAGCAAAACAAACAUGGUUGACAUUUUUUUUGUUUUUCUGGUUUUUGUUUGUGACAGGGUCACUCACUCUGUUACCCAGGCUGGAGUGCAGUGAUGAGAUCAUGGCUCAUGGCAGCCUCAAACUCCCAGGCUCAAGUGAUCCUCCCAUCUCAGCCUCCUGAGUAGCUGGGACUACAGGCAUGUGCCACCAUGCCUGGCUAGUUUUUUUAUUUGUAUAGACAAAGUCUUACUAUGUUGCCCAGGGUGGUCUGGAACUCCUAGGUUCAAGCGAUUCUCUUACCUGGGCCUCCCAAAGUGUUGGGAUUACAGGUGUGAGGCAUGGUGCUCGGCCAUGGUUUGCAUGUUUAAAUGGUCACAAAUAAUAUUCCACAAUACAUGGAAACCAUGGGAAAUUCCCAUUUCAGUCUUCACACAUAUGGUGUCACUGGAACAGAGCCAUGCUUAUUUAUGGAGCAUCUACAGCUUCUUUUCACUACAAGGGGAAGUUGAGUAGUGGUGACAGAUCUGUGUGGAGUUGAGAAUAUUUACUACCCAGCCCUCUGCAAAGCCUGCCAAUCCCUGCAGAAUCCCCCCAUCUGGAGAGUAAGAACUGUGUUGCCUUUAUUAUAAGAUUAUAAUCAGCAUGGAGGACUUGUCCAUGGUAAUAUUGUUAAAUAGUCGACAGCUCAGAAUUAGAGCACCAUAAAUAGGAACUACUAACCUCGUUCUCCCUUCUCUCCACUCGUCCCAUCCUUCCCCGGGCUGCCAGGACAUCCUGGUUCUCCUAGGUGGAAAAGCAGAAAACAGGCAUGAGUUGAAAUUCCAUUUCUGAUUUUUCUGGCCAUUGGUCUCCAUCAGCCAUGUGUUGGAGAGUCUGGGGGUGACCCCCGCCCUGACGGGCACUCUGUCCUCCACACGAGCGCAGGUGGAGAGAGGCAGGCAUGAGCGGGCAUCUGGGGUGCUGAGCUGCGUGGGAUAAGUGACCUAAGAAAUGAACUGAGUGACUUCCCAAGCGCCCAUCUCUAGGACGUGCCUAGAGCGCACAGCAAGACAGGACGAAGAGGGAGUGUGUGCAAUGGGGACUGACUGUCACAAUUGAUUGUGUUCCUCUCCUGCGACAAGGACUUGGGACGUGGUCUGAAUGUUGGAGGUGCGAGGAGGUUUCCUCACUCUGUUUCUCUUCCAUUACUCUUGAGGAGAGUGGAAUGGAAGAUUUACUAGGCUCCUAUGAAAACACAGAUGACUAUGGUUACGUGACACUAUCCCAAGAUAGAAGAGAGAGUUCUGGAGGGAUCCCUCUAGUGCCUUACACUGGGGGAAAUGCUACUAAUCGAGCUGGCAGAGAACAUCAGGUGAGUGGGGCUCUGCUGACUACACUCAAGUCCUUGUGCUCAGAACAGGCCCCCCUGAGCUCCAGGUCGGCGUGCUAUCCGUCAGCGGGUUGAAGGUGGCUCUGGCUAUGGCAGUAGAGUGCUCAUUGGGCCACAGCUCACCCCAGACUCUGGCUUCUCACAAAGCAGCAGAGACUCCCAUACUUCAGACCCACUGACGUGGCUGUGGGGCGACAGGCGCAGGCUGGGCCGGCUUGCAGGUCCUGAGACAGGACUGACACAGGCAGACUUAUUUCUGUCACGAUGUCUGUUCUCCUGGGACACCAGCGCUCCUGAGUGGGGCCUUGGUCAGCGUGGGACCUCUGAAUGGAGGGGGCUUAUCCCUACAUUUGCCCCUCCCUGCGCUCCCCUUCCCUCCCCUCUACUGGCUGCUCCCCUGUGUCUUCCUCUCCUUCCCUCUUUUUGUUCCCCUGCUUGGCUCUCGUUUCUCCCAUUCUCUAGAGCAGUGGCCUCUGAGCUUUCAUGAUCACGCACCACAACUCACAAAGCAUGAACACAGACCCCAAUCAGUAGACAUUUAUAUGUUUCUACAUUAUGCACAGGUAGUAUAUGAAAAAUAUGUUUGGUAUAAAACAUACACAAAAAUACACUUUAAGAUGGUAAGAUAAAAAUGAAGUAAAUUUUUAGUGUGAGCAAUGUGAUUGAAUGUCCUUCUAAGAAAGAAUAUAUAUUACAAAUAAUACUUAUGAAUUACAUAGAAAAAAUAGAUAUAACAUUUGCUUCUAAGAAGUAUGUAAAACUUGAAAGAAUGGACAUUGGUGAGCAGAGGAGAGAAAUUCAACACGGAAGAGGUAGAGAAAUUUGGUAUUGAAUAUAGAAGUGUUUGUCUUAGUUCUCUGUAUUUUGUAUCACCUAUUUAUCUCCUUUUAUGUGUAAUAUUUUAUAACAAAAAUUUAAAAAAUGAAAAUCCUAAACAUUCAGAAAUAAAAUACACACAGACACAGACAUACACACACACACACACACACACACACACACCACUGUGGUCACAGUGUGAGGGCAGAAGACCUGAUUUCAUUAAGGGUAAGGUUUUAGUAUUCAUUUGGACUGGGCUAUUUGCUACCGGGGGACUGGAACAGUCUCAAUGAGCUGGAGAUGUGAGGAGCCAGGAGAAGACACCUCACAGAGCAGAUGUGCCGGUUAGAAAGAAAUAAAGUUGCUUCCUGGUGACCCUUGGCUUCAUCCAGCCCAUUCAAAAAACUAUCAGGCCACCAAAUGCCAUAAAGUGAGACAUGUUAGAAACACAAACUUAUUUGUAAAAAGGUCCAUAGAAGUUUUGAUAUUUUCUUUCUAAUGCCACUGAACUGUGCUCUUAACCCAGUGAAUCAUUCUGCAUAAGUCUUAGAUAUGUGACCCUAUGGUCAAGACCAGGCCUCAAGAAUGGUACCCCAUUCAGAAACCAAGUCUAUUGGUUGUUGUUAUGGAAAGCACUCAGACUUCCAGGCUUUGGCAAAUCUCCCUCCCAGAGGAUGGAUUCUGUCCCCAGAUCCCCAGACCCUGCCUAGGUCAUAGAUUCAUAAGCAGCAGCUGUAUGUGUCAUCUGUCACUCCGCAUCUCCUGCUUCAUGACAUGAUAUGGUAUUAGCUCUCACCUGCACUGCAGCUGGGUGCUUGCUGCCAAAUAAUUCAUGAUCAGAUCUCUCUAUUGGCCUCGUGUUGCCAAAAAUCCAACAUACCUGUCACCUGAGGUGGGAGGAUCCAUGACAUUGUAUACUACUGAAAAUGUCCUGCGGUGUCAGAGAUGAGAGAACCCAGGAGGGCAGGGGUCAUGGCGAUCUGGCCCUGUGCUCUCCACCAGCACCUGGCACAGAGUCUGGCAUGGAGCAGACCCCGUGAGUGUUGCUGGGCAGAUGGGUGGAUGGAUGAAUGGGGUCAGGCUCCAGUGAAUGUUGCUGGGUGGAUGGAUGGAUGGGUUGUGAGUGGGUAGGUGGAAAACCACACAGAUGAUGAGUGAAUGAGAUGAAAGUAAUGAAGAGAGAAGCUCAAAGGCAGCCGAAGCCGUCAGGUGAGUACCUGCAUCGCCUUUGUCACCCUUCGCUCCGUCUCGUCCAUCUCUUCCAGGCAGACCAUUGUGACCGGGGUUCCCAGGGAUUCCAGGGUGCCCUUGCCUGCAGGUGUCCUGUGAGUUUAUGUUCCCUGUGCAGAUUUCAAUGGCAAGCAGAAGCCACCAGAUCCUCAUGGUUCAGAUGACAGACUGAACUGAAAGAGGGAAACAGAAACCCAGAGGAGAAACCUUUGUUGCUGGGGCCCUGGACACAGCCUCCGUUCUGUGCAGUGGGAAAUGGAUGAGCUGUCCCCUGCCCCAGACCCACACCUGGACAGACUUGGCAGAAGACUCAGGGCAGGGGAGCAAGCUGGUUAUUACCAGGAUGACAUUGUCCUUGGAAGGUAACACUUGUGAUUGGAACCACUCUUCAAGCUGAACGGGCAAUAAAAAAAAGCCAAGUUUAAGGUCAGGAUACUCUUCCGUUCAUCAUUUCACUUUGAAGAAAUCACUUCUCUUAACCACAGACCAAUGCUUACUUAUCUCACAGGACUAUUGUAAAAAUCAAAUUUUAUCACAAUAUGCAUAAAGGCACAU